rnacentral:SRP_RNA from 1 species
UCGUGCUAGACGGGGAGUUAGCGGCUCCCUGUAGCCCGAAAUCCGCUUUAGCGGGGUUGAAUCCCCUUCUGGAGGGCCUGAGCCGUACUGGUCGUAUUUAAUUCCGGUACCGGUUGGACACCACGCAACAGACGAACGCGAACCCCGUCAGGUCCGGAAGGAAGCAGCGGUAAGUGUCUCCGGCUGUGUCGCGGUCUCAUCUAACUUGGUUGCCGGAAGGCGUACAAUCGGUUUCGGCCGGUUCGACGGAGGGUGCACGG